rnacentral:rRNA from 1 species
AUUGAACGCUGGCGGCAGGCCUAACACAUGCAAGUCGAACGGUAGCACAGAGAGCUUGCUCUCGGGUGACGAGUGGCGGACGGGUGAGUAAUGUCUGGGAAACUGCCCGAUGGAGGGGGAUAACUACUGGAAACGGUAGCUAAUACCGCAUAACGUCGCAAGACCAAAGUGGGGGACCUUCGGGCCUCACACCAUCGGAUGUGCCCAGAUGGGAUUAGCUAGUAGGUGGGGUAAUGGCUCACCUAGGCGACGAUCCCUAGCUGGUCUGAGAGGAUGACCAGCCACAAGGGAACUGCGACACGGUCCAGACUCCUACGGGGGGCAGCAGUGGGGAAUAUUGCACAAUGGGCGCAAGCCUGAUGCAGCCAUGCCGCGUGUAUGAAGAAGGCCUUCGGGUUGUAAAGUACUUUCAGCGGGGAGGAAGGCGGUGAAGUUAAUAGCUUCACCGAUUGACGUUACCCGCAGAAGAAGCACCGGCUAACUCCGUGCCAGCCGCCGCAGUAA